GUGAGGAAUAUUGGGCAAUGGGCGAAAGCCUGACCCAGCCACGCCGCGUGAGUGAUGAAGGCCUUCGGGUUGUAAAGCUCUGUGGGGAGGGAAGAAAAAGCGCAGGAGUAACUGCCUGUGUGUUGACGGUACCUCCUUAGCAAGCACCGGCUAACUCUGUGCCAGCAGCCGCGGUAAUACAGAGGGUGCAAACGUUGCUCGGAAUUACUGGGCGUAAAGCGCGUGUAGGCUGACAUGCAAGUCGGGUGUGAAAUCCCAGGGCUCAACCUUGGAACUGCACUCGAAACUGAACGUCUUGAGUACUGGAGAGGGAAGCGGAAUUCCGGGUGUAGAGGUGAAAUUCGUAGAUAUCCGGAGGAACACCAGUGGCGAAGGCGGCUUCCUGGACAGUAACUGACGCUGAGACGCGAAAGCGUGGGGAGCAAACAGGAUUAGAUACCCUGGUAGUCC
rnacentral:rRNA from 1 species